rnacentral:lncRNA from 1 species
GUGAUGACCACAGAGAAGGGAAACAACCACUGCCAGCUGUACAGGUUUGCUAUGCUGCUCUUCACAGGCCUUCAACAGUGCCUCCCCUUCCAGAAACUGGGCACAAGGCAAAGAGUCACCUUUUGAUUGCUAUGCCCAGUUUACUUUUUCAGCAUUAUAUCCCAGCUCUUUAAUAAUUAUUUGAAACUCUCUCUGCCUACACCACUUUGACCAUGCUCAGUUCAAUUUGAGACAAAAAAUCAGCUCAGACAGCAGCAGCACCCUACUGCUGCGCUUGUGAAACCUGAUGUCAGUGCCUCAAGCCUCUCACCACUGGGGAGCUAUCAAAGAGAAACUUCCAGCGUGACCUGCAUUCUGAUGUCUGUUACCACACAGAGGGUCCACCUCCCUCUGUCAUCAGUCUAGAGACACACCCAUAUCCCAGAGGAAGAGGUGAUAACCUUCUGGGAAUCCGGACGAGAAUCUUCCUCACUCUUCUCUGGGAAAAAACGUCAAGUAGAAGUGGAAGAACACAGGAAAGAAGGUCAACUAGAGUGAGAAAAGGAAAACCAGACAUGACAAAGGCCAAGGUAAAUAUUUCCAAGAGGAAGCAAGGUCAACUAUGUGGAGAUCUGCUAAGAAGUCAAUAACGGAAGGAAUUCAGGGGUUUGAGAAGAAAGCUGUGAGAAGUGGAAAAUUCAGGUAGCAACUGGAAGACUGCUGGCCAAUUUUAAAGCAAUGAAGCAGUAUCACUGAAGUGAAAAACUGGCAGGUAGUUGGGCUCAUCCAGUCUUUUGCAGAGACCAAAAAGACACAAGAAAUAAGGGAAUGUAACGAAGAAAAAUUUGAAUUGGGGCGUCUAGGCAGGAUAAAGAAGGAAAUCAUAAAGGAGGGAACGAGUACGUACAGAAAGGGUGUUAUGAACUGUGGUUAGAUUUGGAUAUUGUUUGAAUGUCCCCAAAAGUUUCUUGUUGGAACUUAAUCCCCACUGUGAGGUAUUAAAAGUGUGGAAAUAAGCUGACUAUAGUGUUUUCAGGCGAAGGCCUUUGGAAGAUUAAACUACAUAAGGUCAUUUAGGUACAGCACUCAUGAUUGAGUCCUGGCAACUUUACAAAAAGAAGAAAGAACAAGAGAUUCACUAAUCAUGUGUGCACCCUUUCUCUUGCAAUAUCAUCCUCUGCACUGCUUAGGGACUC